rnacentral:rRNA from 1 species
UGGAUCCAGACUUUGAUUAUGGGCUCAGGACGAACGCUGGCGGCGUGCCUAACACAUGCAAGUCGAACGAAGCUUGAUUUAUGAUUUCUUCGGAAUGAGUAAUGAUAUGACUGAGUGGCGGACGGGUGAGUAACGCGUGAGCAACCUGCCCUUCGGAACGGGAUAGCGUCUGGAAACGGACGGUAAUACCGUAUAACGUAUUUUUACCGCAUGAUAGAAAUACCAAAACUGAGGUGCCGAAGGAUGGGCUCGCGUCUGAUUAGAUAGUUGGUGGGGUAACGGCCUACCAAGUCGACGAUCAGUAGCCGGACUGAGAGGUUGAACGGCCACAUUGGGACUGAGACACGGCCCAGACUCCUACGGGAGGCAGCAGUGGGGAAUAUUGCACAAUGGGGGAAACCCUGAUGCAGCGACGCCGCGUGAAGGAAGACGGUUUUCGGAUUGUAAACUUCUGUUCUUAGUGAAGAUAAUGACGGUAGCUAAGGAGCAAGCCACGGCUAACUACGUGCCAGCAGCCGCGGUAAUACGUAGGUGGCAAGCGUUGUCCGGAAUUACUGGGUGUAAAGGGAGCGUAGGCGGGAAGCCAAGUCAGCUGUGAAAACUACGGGCUUAACCUGUAGACUGCAGUUGAAACUGGUUUUCUUGAGUGAAGUAGAGGUUGGCGGAAUUCCGAGUGUAGCGGUGAAAUGCGUAGAUAUUCGGAGGAACACCGGUGGCGAAGGCGGCCAACUGGGCUUUAACUGACGCUGAGGCUCGAAAGUGUGGGGAGCAAACAGGAUUAGAUACCCUGGUAGUCCACACUGUAAACGAUGAUAACUAGGUGUGGGGGGUCUGACCCCUUCCGUGCCGCAGCUAACGCAAUAAGUUAUCCACCUGGGGAGUACGACCGCAAGGUUGCAACUCAAAUGAAUUGACGGA